rnacentral:rRNA from 1 species
CUACGGAGGGUCCAAGCGUUAUCCGGAAUCAUAGGGUUUAAAGGGUCCGUAGGCGGACAAUUAAGUCAGAGGUGAAAGCCCACAGCUCAACUGUGGAACUACCUUUGAUACUGGUUGUCUUGAAUCAUAGUGAAGUAGAUAGAAUAUGUAGUGUAGCGGUGAAAUGCAUAGAUAUUACAUAGAAUACCGAUUGCGAAGGCAGUCUACUAACUAUAUAUUGACGCUGAUGGACGAAAGCGUGGGGAGCGAACAGGAUUAGAAACCCUAGUAGUCC